rnacentral:rRNA from 1 species
GAUGAACGCUGGCGGCGUGCCUAAUACAUGCAAGUCGAGCGAACAGACGAGGAGCUUGCUCCUCUGACGUUAGCGGCGGACGGGUGAGUAACACGUAGAUAACCUACCUAUAAGACUGGGAUAACUUCGGGAAACCGGAGCUAAUACCGGAUAAUAUAUUGAACCGCAUGGUUCAAUAGUGAAAGACGGCUUUGCUGUCACUUAUAGAUGGAUCCGCGCCGCAUUAGCUAGUUGGUAAGGUAACGGCUUACCAAGGCAACGAUACGUAGCCGACCUGAGAGGGUGAUCGGCCACACUGGAACUGAGACACGGUCCAGACUCCUACGGGAGGCAGCAGUAGGGAAUCUUCCGCAAUGGGCGAAAGCCUGACGGAGCAACGCCGCGUGAGUGAUGAAGGUCUUCGGAUCGUAAAACUCUGUUAUUAGGGAAGAACAAAUGUGUAAGUAACUGUGCACGUCUUGACGGUACCUAAUCAGAAAGCCACGGCUAACUACGUG